rnacentral:rRNA from 1 species
GACGAACGCUGGCGGCGUGCCUAAUACAUGCAAGUAGAACGCUGAAGGAGGAGCUUGCUUCUCCGGAUGAGUUGCGAACGGGUGAGUAACGCGUAGGUAACCUGCCUGGUAGCGGGGGAUAACUAUUGGAAACGAUAGCUAAUACCGCAUAAGAGUAGAUGUCGCAUGACAUUUGCUUAAAAGGUGCAACUGCACCACUACCAGAUGGACCUGCGUUGUAUUAGCUAGUUGGUGAGGUAACGGCUCACCAAGGCAACGAUACAUAGCCGACCUGAGAGGGUGAUCGGCCACACUGGGACUGAGACACGGCCCAGACUCCUACGGGAGGCAGCAGUAGGGAAUCGUCGGCAAUGGACGGAAGGCUGACCGAGCAACGCCGCGUGAGUGAAGAAGGUUUUCGGAUCGUAAAGCUCUGUUGUAAGAGAAGAACGAGUGUGAGAGUGGAAAGUUCACACUGUGACGGUAUCUUACCAGAAAGGGACGGCUAACUACGUG